AACUGAUACUACCUGCGGGAACCUGCGGAGGGAUCAUUACUGAGUGAGGGCCCCUCGGGGUCCAACCUCCCACCCGUGUUUAACGAACCUUUGUUGCUUCGGCGGGCCCGCCUCACGGCCGCCGGGGGGCUCCUGCCCCCGGGCCCGCGCCCGCCGAAGCCCCCCCUUGAACGCUGUCUGAAGUUUGCAGUCUGAGAAACUAGCUAAAUUAGUUAAAACUUUCAACAAUGGAUCUCUAGA
rnacentral:misc_RNA from 1 species